GUUGCAUAUCAAUAAGCGGAGGAAAAGAAACCAACAGGGAUUGCCCUAGUAACGGCGUAGUGAAGCGGCAACAGCUUAACAUUUGACAAGUCGUGGCGCAAGCCCGAGACUUGUAAGUUUGUAGAGGACUGCUCUCUGGACCAGCGGGCCGCUUCGUAAGUUCCUUGGGAACAGGACGUCAUAGAGGGUGAGCAAUCCCGUAUGUGACCGGCGCGCAGCCUUUACGUAGCUCCUUCGACGAGUCGAGUUGUUUGGGAAUGCAUGCUCUGACUGGGAGGUAAAUUUCUUCUAGAGCUAGACAUUGCCGGCCAGUAGACCGAUUGCGCACAAGUAGAGUGAUCGAAAGAUGAAAUAGCAUCUUUGGAAAGAGAGUUCAAUAAAGCACGUUGAAAAUUGUUGAAAGGGAAGCGCUUGCAACCAGACUUCGUAGCGAUGUUCCGCUGGUCUUCUGACCGGUCUACUCAUCGUCGCGAGGCCAACAUCGUCUGGGACCGCUGGAUAAGACCUAAGGAAUGUAGCUUCCCUCGGGAAGUGUUAUAGCCUGUGGUGAUGCAGCGUGUCUCGGGCGAGGUCCGCGCUUCGGCAGGAUGUUGGCGUAUGGUUGUCAGCGGCCCGUUCUUGAAACACGGACCA
rnacentral:rRNA from 1 species